GAAAGUGGGGCCAGUGAUACUUUAUUGACUCCACUGAUACUAUCCUCCUAAAUUAAAUGGUGGAAGAACAAGGCCUGCCUGUGAGAUAAAGUCAGGACCUACUUCAUCUGCCUACAAGGCUUUAAUGGCAAUUAGAGGGAGCAAGUUGAAGUCUUCCUGUAGAAGACGGAUGUGUUUGGUUUGAAUUGGACACGCUAACCUGUACUGCAGGGCUGUUGUGUUGCCUGUUGUUGUAUUUGUGCUUUUGACAUUAUCUCACCUGUGUGGUUUUGCUCACAGGCAACACGUGCGUCCCUUUGUUCCCGGCUCCAGGACUGGGUGUGGAGGGACGCUGGACGUCCUGAAGGAUUAUGAUAGUGCUGUUGCUGCCUUAGUUGUCCUGUACCAUGUCUGGCAACAAAGCCAUAUUCUGCCGAGCAGGCUGCUCCAUACUCAGCCAUCAGGCCUGCCUUUUCCAACAGAUCCAUCAAGCUGGCAACGUAAUGACAGAGCUGUUUGGUACCUGCAGAGUCUCACUCCCAGGGUGUCCAAGCACCUUGCAUUUGGGUCAUAAAAUCCAUCCCUGCAGCAGUCAUGUGAGAGGGUUGUGAAGUCCCAGGGACUCCCAGGGCAGUUUACCAGUUGAAAAAUAUUGUGGAUUGGUUUCUUGUAUCAUCUGAGGUGAACGGCGAAUCCCAGCCCCAGGAUACAGAUAUCUACUUGAGUGUGGCGCUCAGUUUUUUGGCAGAUAAAGGUAAAACAUGUUCCAGUGGGUGGAUGUUGGACCUGGAAUCAAGGCAUACGGUUUUUAAGCAAAGAAUGGUGCUUUCUCACCCGUUCAUUCCCUGGAAGAGGAACUGUGCACUUCAGCUGCUGUUCUCUGGGGUGGCCUUGCUAAUGUCAGCAGGGCUCACCCAGCCACCUCCUGCCCCCUGCACUGGCAGUGGCUGCUGGCCGAGUUGCCCGUUUCUGGUGGACACGGGUUGUGGUCACUGCAGGACGUAGCAACAGAGUCUGCCUUACAGGAGGUCUGGCAGUGACCGUAACAACCCUGGCAGCACCAGAAAUCUGUGGAUUCCUGGUGGGCUAAGAAAUGACCUGUACUUACAUAGGUCAGGGUCAGAGUUGCUAAACCCAUCUUCUUUUGAGGCUUGCAAAACAAAUAGGUAUCCAAAAGAAGAUGGUACUAAUCACUGCUGUAAUCACAUAUUCAGCUCCUGUUUUUGUGGUUUCUGCAAAGCCUGGUUUGGGGAGGAUUUUUUUAAGCUGUUUGGGGGAAAAACAGACAAGCUUUUGGCACAUGGUUCUAUGUCAGAUUUUUUCAUUUUUACCAGGCUCUGUUUAUUUGUAGAGAUCCUGUAUUUUGUAAAGGCCACCACCUGUUCUGACUAACCCCUAGAAUGGAAACAUGAACCAAUGAUUUUUUUUUUUUAAAUGAAUGUGCAAUAAAUCUGUGGAAAAGCU